ensembl:lincRNA A830008E24Rik RIKEN cDNA A830008E24 gene
AUGUUUCUUCCCCUGCCGCGGCUUGUUUUCUUCAAGGGCCAAGGCCAGCGGCUGAGCUGUCUUCCUUUUGCCCUCCUUCUCUCUCUUGCACGUGGCCCAGCUUGCGCUGGUGUCUAGAAAAGUCUGCACGACAGAGCUGACUCUCAGAGAGCUUGCAUUUCAAAAAAAAAAAAAAAUCGCUGUUGGGAGACAGACAGGGUGCUGCAUUGCCAAUUCAGGGCAAGCCCACCUUGAGGAGGAAGGCGGGAUGGGGGUGGUACACACCUCAGAGUUCUGGCCAGAAUUCUUGUUUUGCUGCCGCUGGGUUUUUCCCUAAGCAGAACAGGUUUUUCUCAGGCCAGCCAGGCUGCCAUGAACUUCUGGUGCCUUCAAGCAGUAAACACCGCCAGCCACGGGUUUCAAUCUGCACUCUGGCGCCUCUUCCUCGUUUUCUUUCAAACUGCGGGUUUGAAAAAUUGGAACGCUCGGACUGGAGAGGAGGCUCGGAAUUAAGAGCACUCGCUGCUCUUGCAAAGAACUCGAUCCUGGGAUGUGCUGAGAUCUCCACUGGUGCCUACAAAGAAACACAAAUUCAUCAUAUCACAGUUGCAGCUGGCUUACAAAACCAGAGAUGCUGUUUCUCCAUCUUCUAAGGACCCCUAUGCUCAAGGGAACAGGUCAUUCAGCUCACCUCGUUGUCCUGAAGUGCCACUGAGCAGCAGUGCCACGCAGUAUGCUAGAAAAUGACCCAUUCUAGAAUACAGACCUCCCUUGGAGACUGUGGGUUCAGGUACAGAUGUCUCGCAUACGACAGAUACUGCAAUAAAGCGAGCGAAGGAGGAAGGAGAUAGAUUUCCUCCUAAAUCAUUGCUCCAUCUCGGUGCCUCUUUGUCCCCAACACACACGGAGUCUUGUUUAAUCUUCAACAUGACACUAGUCACCUAUCAAAGAAAAUAGGAAGCCAAGCUGUGUCUCUGAGUGAGGCUGCCCAUAUCCUUGGUUUAGGCUGUUCCUCUUAUGACUCACCCAUAACCUGAACUUCUCUGAUGUAACAAGCUCUUGGAAGUUCUGUUGAACGGACAAAUACUUCCCAGCACAACCUCAGAUGCCCGGACAAUGUACAACAUGCAAAUUGGCAAAGAUCAGAUUAACCCAGCAGAUGUAGAAAAUCUGGGCCUUAAAAAAAAAGCAUACCGGGCUGGAGAGAUGCCUCAGUGGGUAAGAGCACCUGACUGCUCUUCCGAAGGUCCGGAGUUCAAAUCCCAGCAACCACAUGGUGGCUCACAACCAUCCGUAAUGAGAUCUGACUCCCUCUUCUGGAGUGUUUGAAGACAGCUACCGUGUACUUACAUAUAAUAAAUAAAUAAAUCUUUAAAAUUUUUCAUAAAAAUAAAGCAUACCUAGGGCGUGCUUUGACAACUCCUUUGGGACAUUGCUUUUCUGUCAUCCUGAGUCUUUAAGCUAUGAACAUAAGCACAAGAAUCACGGUGCUGAAAGGAGCCUGAAGUGCAAAAACAAGCUGCAACAAGAGAGCCAGCACACCCUGCACUGUUUGCAGAAACUCCCUGGGGACCCAAGGUUACAUAAAACUCAACGGAAAACACAACACACCACCCUCUGCACACUCUUUCUCUACUGUAGAGUUUUAUGAUCGUUGAACGCCUCUUUGCUGCUUGGGAAAUCCAUCUUCCUUGAAGAUGCCUUGACUGUUUUCAUGGGCUCAUGGAGCAAUUCCUUGGGGGUUAACAAGAGGUUAGAGUUCUGUGUUCCAGAACCUCCUGCCUUGAGCCUUAGGCCAAGUGACAUCAGUGGCUCCUGCUCUGAAGAGGUGAAGAUUCUUUCAAUGAAAUAAAAUGAAAGAUCACUUCUGCUUGCUAACAGCGCCAGGUGAAUCUGUGCAUUGCAUAUCAAGGUUUACCAAUGCAACGACUGACACAAACGUAGUUCAGUUUCGGAGUUUGAAAACUGCAUGAAUGGACACCACUGAUUCUAUAAGUCAUAGGCUAUUAAAAGCUUACCCUAGUGCCAGGCAUAGGAUAUGUUCUUACAAGUCGUUGGUUAGGGAGGUCCCGGAUAGUCGCUGAAACAGCACAGGCCAGUGCUCUUGGCUGCCUCUCAAAAGCCUUUAAGAUGUGCUUUGUAGAUGAUUCCACACUUACUCAAUUCUUUCCUUCCACCUUGUGCAUACAAGGGAUCCAACAUGUCACCAGGCUUGGUGGCAAGUGCCUUUAAAGGGCAUCUCGGGAAGGGGGGGACUCUCUUUUGUUUGUGUGGGGGAAGGGCUUUUACAGAUGGAUUCUAAAAUUUACAUGGAAAGGUAACUAGUGCUUUUGAAGAAAAGUACCUGGUUGAAGAACUUCUAAAGCUGAAAUACCGAAGAUAAGGGAGUAGUGAUGUAAAUACUAAGAGAUAUGCUUUAUUGUUAUUGAGUCGGCAGAUUGAUUUGAAGAGUACUGGUAAAUUUAUAAUAUCAAGACUUCUGACUCAUAAUCACAGUAUAGUUUUCUAAUUCAUUUGGUUUUCUUUCAUGGCUGGAAGGGUGGCUCAGUGGUUAAGAGCACUGGCUGCUCUUCCAGAGGUCCUGAGUUCAAUUAUCGGCAACCACAUAGUGGCUCACAACCAUCUGUAAUGAGAUCAGAUUCCCUCUUCUGACGUGUCUGAAGACAGCAACAGUGUACUCACAUAAAAUAAACAAACAAGUAAAUACAUCUUUAAAAAAAAAACCUAUCACAGUUGCUUGGGGUUUUUCAAUUUUGUUAUUUUGUAUAUGGUUGCUCUGCCUGCAUAUCUGCAUGAUAUGUGUGUGCUGUGCCCUCAGAAGCCAAAAGAAGAUAUUGACUCCUCUGGGGCUAGAGUCACAGAUGGUUGAGAGCUGCCAUGUGGGUCCUGGGGAUUGAACCCUGUUCCUCCAGAAGAGCAGCCCAUGCUCUGAAGCACUGAGCCAUCCUCCAACAUCAGUUCUUAGAGUUUUUACUUAGGUUAUUUUAUUAUUAUUAUUUUUUUUUAGGCUUUUGACAUAGACAUGCAUCGUCUCUUUCUUCUUGGGAACUGUGCUGAUAGGCCUGCCUGACCUCCCCAUGAAAACAUUAAGAAUAUUUACAUCUGUGUUUAUGAAAGAUCUUGAUCUAUAAUUUACUUUUAGAGUUUUUGUCAGAUUUUAGUACCAGGGUACUUUAGGCUUCAUAAAUUAGUUUCUGAAGAUAUUUGGGCAGACUCAUGAUUCAUCUUUUUAGGUGGUUGGCAGAACUAACAAAGCCAGAGAAACAUUAGCUAUGCUAUUAGUAGGCCACUUCUCCUACAUUUCUUAGAAAUAACCCAAAACCUCAAGUAACUGCUUUCUUGAUUUUUAAUCUUUUAUUCUGUUUUGCAUCCAUUUUAAUUAAAAGGCAUACUUUAUGCCCCUUCCGUUCCCCCCUGGACCUUUCUGCUGGGCACACUGCUAGCUAGUCUGCUCCCCUGGAGACACCAUAUCCUGAGCCAGCCCAAAAGACCCGUUGCACUCUGAGCAUUUGGUAAGAACCCUCUGGAAGUCCCACAGCUGCCACUGGGAGUUCAAUGGACUCAGGACCCAUCACUACCCAACCCUGCCCCCUCCCCACCAAAUACCCCUCCACUUUCCACCCUGUCCUUUCUACUCUGCUCCCCUGGAGACACCAUAUUCUGAGCCAUCCCAAAAGAUCCACUGCCCUCAGGGUAACUGACACCACAGCCUGAGGCAUCCCAGUAGAUCUGCUACAUAGAAGGCAAUCAAUCAGUUGAUUGCCAGCUUGUCUGCUUCCCUGAAGACACCACAGCUUGAAGGCAUCCCAGGAGCUCUUCUGUACACAGGGCAACUGGGCAACAGACACCACAGUCUGAAGACCUCAUAGGGGCUCUCUGGCAUGCAAGGCAACUGAUCCAACAGACUGAAAGCCUCCCUGGAAAUUCUUCUGCACACAGGGAAACAGAAACCACAGUCCAUAGAGCCACCUGGAGAACAUCUUCACACAGGACAACAGCCUGACUACUCCUCUGAAGACCCAACAGUAUAAGGCAACCCAGGAAAUCUAUUGCAGCCAGGGCAGCAGAUCAGCAGCUUCUCUGCCCCUCUGAAGAGCCCCCAGUUAGAAGACACAGAUAGUCUGCUACAGCCAGGGCCACAGGCCUAUCAGGAGACCUGAAGCAACCCAGGGACAAAAGAGGCAGACUCCAGACAGAGUCACCCAGACCAACAAACACCAGGGACAACCAGAUGCAAGAGGCAAGUGCAAGGCCAUAAGCAAUAGAAGUCAAUUUACAUGGGCAUCAUCAGAACCCAGUUCUCCCACCAUAGCAAGUCCUGAAUACACCAACAUAUCUGAAAAUCAGGAAGCUGACCUAAAAUCCUAUCUCAUGAAGAUAAUAGAAUCCUUUAAGGAGGAUAUAAAUAACUCAAUGAAAGAAAUACAAGAAAACUCAGAUUAAACAGGUAGAAGCCCUUAAAGAGGAAACAAAGCCCUUAAAGAAAUACAGGGAAACACAAUCAAACAGGUGAAGGAAUUGAAUAAAUCAGUCCAAGACCUAAAAGUGGAAGUAGAAACAAAAGAGAAAACACAAGUGCAGGCAAACCUGGAAACAGAAGACCUAGGAAAGAGGCCAGAAAUUACAGAUGUAAGUAUCACCAACAGAAUAUAAGAGAUAGAAGGGAAAAUCUCAGGUGUAGAAGAUACCAGAAAAGAGAUUGACAUAACUGUCAAAGGAAAUUCCAAAUAUAAAAACUCCUAACCCAAAGCAUCCAGGAAAUUCAGGACACAAUGAAAAGACCAAAUUGAAGGAUAAUCGGAAUAGAGGAGACUGAAGAUUCCUAGCUCAAAGGACCUGAAAGUGUCUUCAACAAAAUCAUAGAAGAAAAUUUCCCCAACCUAGAAAAAGAGAUGACCAUAAAGGAACAAGAAGCCUACAGAACACCAAAUAAAUGGGACCAGAAAAGAAAAUCCUCUCGUCACAUAAUAAUUAAAACACUAAAUCCACAGAACAAAAAAAGAAUAUUAAAAGUUGCAAGGGAAAAGGGCCAAGGGUAGACCUAUCAGAAUUAUACCAAACUUCUCAACAGAGACUAUGAAAACCAGAACAGCCUGGUCAGAGGUCAGGCAGACUCUAAGAGAACACAAAUGGCAGCCCAGGCUACUAUACCCAGCAAAACUCUCAGUCAACAUAGAUGGAGAAAACAAAAUAUUCCGGGACAAAACCAAAUUCAAACAAUAUCUAUCUAUCAAUCCAGCACUAGUGAAGAU